GCGCUCUCGAACCCUAGAGAAGGGCUUUCCCCUUCGGGGGACAGAGUGACAGGUGGUGCAUGGUUGUCGUCAGCUCGUGUCGUGAGAUGUUGGGUUAAGUCCCGCAACGAGCGCAACCCUUGAUCUUAGUUGCCAGCAUUCAGUUGGGCACUCUAAGAUGACUGCCGGUGACAAACCGGAGGAAGGUGGGGAUGACGUCAAAUCAUCAUGCCCCUUAUGACCUGGGCUACACACGUGCUACAAUGGACGGUACAAAGGGCAGCGAGACCGCGAGGUUUAGCCAAUCCCAUAAAACCGUUCUCAGUUCGGAUUGUAGGCUGCAACUCGCCUACAUGAAGCUGGAAUCGCUAGUAAUCGCGGAUCAGCAUGCCGCGGUGAAUACGUUCCCGGGUCUUGUACACACCGA
rnacentral:rRNA from 1 species